ACUUUAUAUAAGUUUAAUUUGGCUUACAAUUUGAGUGAAAAGUAGCUUUAUUAGGCUUAUAUUUCGUUGGGGAGAUGUAGAUAUAAUGUGUAACUGUCUGUUUAAUUUAAUAAUUAUAAUUAGUGUGUGAUCCUUCUUUGUGGAUUAAAAGUAUAAGUU
rnacentral:rRNA from 1 species